GGGGAUUUGGCUCAGUGGUAGAGCGCUUGCCUAGCAAGCACAAGGCCCUGGGUUCAGUUCCCAGCUCCG
rfam:Rattus norvegicus chromosome 10, whole genome shotgun sequence.